UAGUUGAACCAAUGCGACUAAAUAUAUAACUUUAAACUAAAUAUAUGGAAGGCAAUUAAAUAGGAAUUAUCUUCAGAAAAUAAUAUUCGCCCAGACGUAAUUUACUUGGAUCCUAUACGGUUGGUAUCACAGGAACGCAGUUUGGAUGAAAGAAAGAUAAAUUUAAACCGUACAUUUGCGACGGGAAUGUGCAACAAAACUGGGAGAUGCAAAACGAUAGCAAACGAAGUUGGCUUGUGGCUCUCGGGUCAUUCUUUCUUGUUGGAAUUGCGAUUGGAAUAUCAAAUUCUUUUGGUGUUUUGUUCACAAGCUGGACGGGAGAAUUUCAAGAAAAGAGAACAAAAAUUGCCUGGAUUGGUUCCUUUCAUUUCAUUUGGUACAUGUGUUUAUGUCCAGCAUGUGGUAUCUUAACUCGGUAUUUCAGUUUUCGACCAGUUGUCGUCCUAGGAAGCACUCUCUUUUGUCUUGGUCUACUACUCAGUUCAUUUGUGAAGGACAUUCCGCUGUUCUACUUAACAUAUGGCAUAAUAUUUGGCACUGGGACAUGCAUGUUAUAUAUGUCAAGCAUAAUAGUUUUGCCAUUUUGUUUCCAAAGAAAUUUAGCCGCAGCAACUGGGGUGGUAACUUCGGCAAAUGGCGGUUUCACAAUGUGGUGUGGACCGGUGUACGAAUAU